GACCCCCUACGGGGGGCAGCAGUAGGGAAUCUUCGGCAAUGGGGGCAACCCUGACCGAGCAACGCCGCGUGAGUGAAGAAGGUUUUCGGAUCGUAAAGCUCUGUUGUAAGAGAAGAACGUGUGUGAGAGUGGAAAGUUCACACAGUGACGGUAACUUACCAGAAAGGGACGGCUAACUACGUGCCAGCAGCCGCGGUAAUACGUAGGUCCCGAGCGUUACCCGGAUUUAUUGGGCGUAAAGCGAGCGCAGGCGGUUGGUUAAGUCUGCAGUU
rnacentral:rRNA from 1 species